AAGUAUAGCGCCGGAACGAACGGAUUAUAUUGAUGUUAUAAACUAUAAGAUUUUUUUUCAUCUUCUAUACUUA
rnacentral:tRNA from 1 species